UGCGAGUCAUUGUAGUAAUACAAGGCAGACGGCUCAGUAACGCGUAGUCAACCUACCCUAUGGACGGGGAUAACCUCGGGAAACUGAGAAUAAUACCCGAUAGAACAUUAUGCCUGGAAUGGUUUAUGUUUCAAAUAAUUUAUUGCCGUAGGAUGGGACUGCGGCCUAUCAGUUUGUUGGUGAGGUAAUGGCCCACCAAGACUAUUACAGGUACGGGCUCUGAGAGGAGUAGCCCGGAGAUGGGUACUGAGACACGGACCCAGGCCCUAUGGGGCGCAGCAGGCGAGAAAACUUUGCAAUGUGCGAAAGCACGACAAGGUUAAUCCGAGUGGUUUCUGCUAAAGGAACCUUUUGUCAGUCCUAGAAACACUGAUGAAUAAGGGGUGGGCAAGUUCUGGUGUCAGCCGCCGCGGUAAAACCAGCACCUCAAGUGGUCAGGAUGAUUAUUGGGCCUAAAGCAUCCGUAGCCUGCUUUGUAAGUUUUCGGUUAAAUCCAUACGCUCAACGUAUGGGCUGCCGGGAAUACUGCAAAGCUAGGGAGUGGGAGAGGUAGACGGUACUCGGUAGGAAGGGGUAAAAUCCUUUGAUCUAUUGAUGACCACCUGUGGCGAAGGCGGUCUACCAGAACACGUCCGACGGUGAGGGAUGAAAGCUGGGGGAGCAACCGGAUUAGAUACCCGGGUAGUCCCAGCUGUAAACUAUGCAAACUCAGUGAUGCAUUGGCUUGAUGCCAAUGCAGUGCUGCAGGGAAGCCGUUAAGUUUGCCGCCUGGGAAGUACGUACGCAAGUAUGAAACUUAA
rnacentral:rRNA from 1 species